UGCUCAUAACAAACCACUCAAAGUUCAGUGGCUGAAAACAAUCCUUUAUCCUUGUUUGCACGGCUGCAGGUUGACUGAGGUGGGCUGAUCCAGCCUAGGCUUGGCUCCAGGCUGAAGGUUGGAUCCAGAUCUGACCCACGUGUCUCUCAUCCUCUCUGACCCGCUAGCAAACUAUGGCAUCCUCUUCUACGGUGAUGAUGGAACAGCAAGAGUGAAGGAAGUCAUCUCUGGACAUAGAGUGGGUCCAAGCUACAGAAAAAAAAGGAGAAAAGCUGAGGGCUUUGGAGUGGUUCAGCCCUGGCAGCACGAUAGCAGGCCUCUCAGAGCCGUCUCCUCGUUGUGUUUUCACCUCACCCAGCGGCAGAGGAUUCCCUUAAGGUGCCCUGGACUGGUCCCCUCAUGGGGAUUGAGAAGCUGGGGAGUCACAGCCACAUCGUGUUGGUAAAGAUGUGGAGAAACUAGAGCUCUUAUGCACUGUGGGAUCCGCUGUGGGAACGUAAAAUGUGAAUGUCUUUGGAAAACAGUGUGGCAGUUUAAAAAAAUUAAACAUACAUCUAUCACACGAUCCACCUAGUUCACGUCUAAGUAUUU